AGGGGUCGGGCCCGAGCGGGAACCCAGGCCGCGGGCUUCCCAGGGCGGCUCCGAAACGGGCAGUCGAGGCAGGCGAGGGCUCGGCUGCUCCUGCGGGCGUCUGUGCAGAUCCUGAGGCUGUUGACCAAAACAGCGCAAGGAAGGAAUGCACCAGAAGCGCAGAUUCGCGGGGGAGGCCCUGCCGCUGGGAGGGGAAGGGGAGGCGCAGCGGGGCUCCAGCGGGGCCUGGAGGGGGCUGUAGCGUGGCCCUAGCUGUGCGUCUGUGGAGCUGGUAGAGUUCUGCAGCCCAGGAGUGAGGCUGCUGGAGGUGCACAUCAGUUUGAAAUGUGGUGGAAACCAUGGUGAUGGAUGGGAUUUAUUCAGUCCACAUCCAUUCAGAGGCCAGCAGGGUGCUGCUGGGGGUGACUGGUGCUGGGCCGGGCGUGAUUUUGGCGUUGAGGGAGCUGAUGCCCCAGCAGGGGAGACAGGCACCAGAUGCACAACUGUUUAACCACAGUUGGGACAAGGGCUAAGGCACGGGUUCCAGGAACCUGUAGGAUGCGGGUGUGGGAGUGGUGUCAAAUGCUGAGGGUGUGAGUUGAACUCGAGAAUUUCUCUGGAAAUUAGCCAGAGGAAAAGUGAGGUGCCAGGGGCAGCCAGCCUUAUGCAGCCCCAGGCAGAAGAAACAGAAUGCACGGACCCUUAGUGGUGGGCGAUGGUGACAUAUAGGAGCAGAAAGAUUGUCCUGGCUAAGGCCCAGAGAGCCACCGGCGAAGGGACACGGUAACGUGUAGAGGGGAGUGGAGGGUGAGGACAAACUUCAGGAUGGGAGAAGAGCCACAAAGGAGACGGAGAAGGGCGAGUAGGAGAAACCAGGAGACUAGAAUGUGUGGAAACCAAGAGGAUGGAGUUUAAAGGAGGAAGGAGCCAUCAGCAGUGCUGACCAAAGAGCAGCUGAAAAGGUCCCACUGACUGCAGCAGCCGGGCUUUUGUGACCCUUAGGGGUCACUGCGGAGGCCGGGCUGGAGCGAGGUAGCAUGAGUUAGGAUGCACGCCUGGGCAGGUGGAGAUAGCUCGCUCCAGCUUUUAGGAUGAAAGGGGCAGAGUGGACAGGAACUUAGCUUGGGGAAAACGACCAUGUUCAGGAUGCGGGAGAGGAGCGUUCCCCUGCUGCCGAGAUUGGAGAUCCAAGAGCAGGGAUGAAUUUAACUCCCCCGCCCUCUAGCGUGCUGUAUACCAAAACAGAGUCAAAGUGAUCCAUAAGCUUAUGUAGUUUAUUUGAUCAACAUGAUUGGCCUGCCAGCCCCUUGUAAGUCGACCCUAAGGACAUUUUAAGAGUAAUUUCUUUCCCUUUUACAUAUGGGUAUCCUUGGUGCCAGAUUAUAUGAGUCGUUUUUCACAAGGUCACAAUUAAAGUGUUUGAGACUUUUUCAUAGUUUAGAGAUUUUAUUUGCUGUUUCCACUGGAUUGUCCAGAUUUUUAUUUCAAGAAUUGUGUACAUUUUAACAGAAUAAAAUAGUGAAACCUAGAAAAUGCCCCCCCCCCCCCCGCCCUAUGUACACACUUUAAAAGUUGGCCUUAAUAAUUUAACUUGCAUGACAUGGUAAGCCUCAGCAAAGGUUGUGCACUUGAAGGGCUGUCCUAGUUCCAGUGUGUCGACCUUGAUUAGAUUGACCUGAGUUCAGUCCUGUCUGGGUGCACUCAAAGCUUCCUGCCAGCAUCUGGGCCUUUGUUAGUUUGACCUGGGUUCAGUCCUGUCUAGAGAGACUCAGGGCUUCCUGCUCUCCCCUGUAGUUUUUUAGUUGACGAGCCUUUUUGUUUCCUAAGAAGCUUUAUGCCAGUUCCCUUUUUCACAAGAGGCAACUUGGGUCUCUUAGUCACUUUUGGACAUGAAGCACGUAGUCUUUAGACUUGGCUAUCGAUCUUUGCUUUAAUCACUGUUAUUUUAUGGAGGAACCUGUAAGGGGUGACAUCAAAUGAUUGCAGCUUUGUUGACUGGCCAGAGGCCUGUUGAUGGGCUAAGCCUAGACCCCAGAGCUUCUCUUGCUCAUUCAGAACCAGUGCCUUGGCACCACCGUGUGGUUCAGGGUUUGCUGGAGUAUCUUGUGACAUCAGGCAGUUUGAGUAGAUUGCAGGGGAAUCUUCGUGUUUCUCGAUACCAACUUCUGUCCACUCUGUAGCUAAUAGUAGUGAUUCAAAACCACUUUGAAUGGCCUGGAUCCAUGUGCUCCUGCAUCUGUUCUUCUAGAGUUCUAAGAAAUUAGGCUGCUAGUGUAACGGUGUUGUCACAUAUUAGGGGAGGCUUCAAGGGGUGACCGGCAGGACCUCAAGAUCAGACACCAUCAUGUCUUCCAAAUUUCCACAUUCCAGAUUUCCUGAUGUGGAGUCAUCAGUUGUAUAAUGCUGGUUAAAUAGUUCAGUCACCGAAGAGUAUAUUGUUUGGCUGAUUAGUCUUGGAGGGUCUAAGGGUACGAUGUUGAAUUUUUUUAGGUGAAAUUCACAUAACAUAAAAUUAACUAUUUUAAAAUGUACAAUUCAGUGGUGUUUAGUACGUCCACGAAUUUGUGGAACCACCACCUCUAUCUAGUCCUAAAACAUUUUUGUCAUCCUGAACAAUAACUGUGUACCCAUUAGCGGUCACUCCCAACUCCUCCCUUGCCCCAGCCCCUGGCUACCACUCACCUUUCUCUCUGUAGACAUUUGCCCGUUCUGGAUAUUUCGUAUAAGUGGAAUCGUACCCCGUGUGGCUUCUUGUGCCUGGCUUUUACUCAGUGUCGUACUUUUGAGGUUCUUCCAUGUGGCAUGUAUCAAUACUUCAUUCCUUUUUAUGGCCGAAUUAUGUUCCGUUAUAUGGAUAUACUAAAUUUUGUUGUAUAACCAUGGCAGAAUUUUUAAAUCUAGCAAUGAUGGCCACUUCCAUAAUAAGGAUGUCAUGGCUGUUCCUAGUGGUGGACCAUUUUGGGGGUUGUACUUCUGCCUUUAUCUUAAGGUUUUUGGGGUAAUUCUUGGCUUUGCUCACCCUCCCUUGGGAAGGCUGUCAACUUCAUAAAAAGACUCUAGCUGUAUCUUUUGUCAGCUUACUGUCAGAGAGUAUGGGAUCUGCCUUAAUUUAGUUAAAUUUGAUCUUACCAGAUAAUACAACCUUGAAUUUUUCGUUUAGUUCUAUUCAAAAGCUCAGUUUCAGAAAAUAAUGUAGUGAAUAUGUAUUCCAUUUAUUCCUCUAGAAUCUAGAUCGGGUUCAGCAAACUACAGCCCACAGGCUAGCUGUCUGUUUUUGUAAAUUGAGUUUUAUUGGAACACAGCCUACGGCUGUCUGCUUUUGCAACAGACCCACAGGCCUGAGAUGGCAGAGCCGACUGCUGACUGGAACAUUAAGAGAGAAAGUUGGCUGAGUGAGGCUUCUGAUCUUCAUCAGUUCUUCAUCUGAGUUCUGCCUUCCCCUACCUUAUGAGGACUUAGCAGAUGGGCUUAAGCCAUCUGUGAAACCCCUGAAAUUUUAUGCAAAGCUGCCUGCACAUGUGAGGUCCAUAUAUGUGUUCCUGGAGGGCAGACCUGUGACUCCUCAGAUUCCAAAAGGGAUUCAAGACUCCCAAAUGCUCAACACUCAUUGUUCUGAGUAGCCGAAAUGUUAAUUCUGUAGCCUCACCUGAGUUAGCAGUUCUCUCAGGGUUUAGUCUCAGGAGUUGUGUGGUUUUCGGGUUUGUUUUUUCUUUUAGGUUCGGGGUGCGUGCGCAGGUUUGUUACAGAGGUCAGCUGUGUGUCAUGGGAGUUGGCGUACAGAUGAUCUCGUCAGCCUGGUAAUGAGCACGGUACCUGGUGGGCAGUUCUGGGAUCGUCUCCCUCCUGCCACUCUCAAGCAGGCCCCGGUGUCUGUUGUUCCUUCUUUGUGUCCACACGUGCUCUGUGUUCAACUCCCACUUACAAGUGAGAACAUGUGGCAUUUGGUUAUCUGUUCCUGCGCCAGUUCACUUAGGAAAAUGGCCUCUAGCUCCAUCCAUGUUGCUGCAAAGGACAUAAUCUUGGUCCUUUUUAUGGCUAUGUAGUAUGCCGUGGUAUAUAUGUACCACAUUUCCUAUAUAUUUUUAAGAAUGAUUAGAACCCCAUUCUUAAAUGAGAGCUCUUGUUUGUGUGGGUAAUAGUCAUCAAUAUUUACCAUAUUAGAAAUUAAAAUAGGAAGUAUUAAAAUAUUUCUAUAUCUAAUUAGCAAUAAUAAACCUAUUACAUUUUUGCAAAUAUUUUAAUGUCUAGCUUGAUAAAAGAUAGGCUCUCGAAUCUCACAUUCAUUCCUGUGAUAUCACAAGCCUUGCGGCCCGUGGAGGCCUCUGCUAUGCACUCUGUGAGAAUGAGAGUGAGCAAGGCCGGUGGCGGCUUAGGACGCUCAGGAAGGUGGUUCUGUGGACCUCCUGAAAGGCCUUAGGACCCAGCGCGGUCGCAGAUGCAUGUGGGAGAGUAUGUAUCUGGACAGUGUUAUCUUAAUGCUCCUGCGGAAUCGUCCUCUGGUAUUUUGGCAUCAGCAUGCUUUUUGAUUUCCUGUCUCAAAAAAAAAAAAAAAAAACCUUCUGGAAACUGGCUCUGCUGUACAUGGUUGGCAUUUUGGUGAGGAAUUGGUAUGUGUGAGGGGACAUGGAACUUUGCCAGGAGCCCAGGAGACGUUUCCCUCAGGUUUUAGGCCAGAAGGGUCUAUACCACUUCUGAGCUGCUGGUAAGGUUUUAGAUCUUAUGAAAAUGAAUUUUCCUAACUAAUUAUGUUUUCUUUACUGUGGCACUGGGGAAGCUUGGAGCCUGAUUUCCAGCUCUUAACAUGUGACAGGCACAUCCUUGCACUAACGGCACCCCUUUCUCAACCAUACCUUGUUAUCCUUCUGUACACUUUCGUUAUGUUGUAAUUCAUUCCAUGUGUUUUUAUAAGUUGUCUCAUCUUUAUUUGAACAAGAUUGAGUAUAAAUCCUUUUGAGUAAAAAAUUUCCCCCUUAUAUUAUUGUGUAAAGCAUUUUUGUAAAACAUUAGCAUCCAGUGGAUUCUAGGGUCUGUUUGGAUUUAGAGAAGUUAGUGAAUCACUUUUUUUUCCAGUGUUGCUUUCAUCAGGUUUCUUUAUUGAUUGGUUGAUUGAGAUGGAGUCUUGCUCUGUCGCCCAGGCUGGAGUGCAGUGGCGUGAUCUCAGCUCACUGCAGUCUCCACCUCCCAGGUUCAAGUGAUUCUCCUGCCUCAGCCUCCCAAGUAGCUGGGACUAUAGGCGCCCGCCACAACGCCCAGCUAAUUUUUGUAUUUUUAGUAGCGAUGGGGUUUCUUCAUGUUGGCCACGAUGGUCUUGAACUCCUGACCUCAAGUGGUCCGCCUCAGCCUCCCAAAGUGCUGGGAUUCCAUCAUCCAGUUACUUUAGAUAAGUGGAAUCUCAGCCCUCCUAUAUCUGGAAGUGUCAAGAUGUUACUUUGUUUCAUUAUGUACUAUAUAUAGUGCAGCUGCUUGGCAGCGUUGUUAUUUAUUGCCUGCCCAGAUCCUCUGUCCUAUUUUUCAUUUUAUUUCUGUCUGGUAUACAGAGGCAUUCUUGUUAUUAGUAUUAUUGUUUCCAUUUAAUCAUAACAGGCUUUUUUUGUGCCUGCUUGUGAAACUUUCAUAAAUUACUUUUAACACGAUGCUUAGUUAUUUGUGUACAUUUUCAUCAAUGUGAUUCUGCUGAUUUAAACUGGGAAAAAAUGUCUGCAAACUGCACAGCCUCUUUCCGUUCAUUAAAGCCUGAAGUUUAUUGAAACCAAAGAAGACCCUGUGGCUGGGGCCCCGGUGACGCCGUGAGGUCCUUGCCCGGUGUCCUCAGAGGCUAGGUGUGCGUUACAGAGUUCCUGAGAGCUUUAGAAAAAUGAGUCACGCUUCAUGCAGGGUGAACUGGGUGGCGAUCAGAAUGUGUUUUGUAUAAGAUGUUAAUUCUCAUAGUUUCUGAAGCUCGGACUGCCUGUUUGUUACAGUGUAGGUACUGUUGUUUCGGAAGACCGUGCAGUCUUUUUAACUGAUGACGAGCAAGGCUUUGUCUCUAAUUCUGCCCAGUUAAAGUGCAGGCGUUAGGCUAGAGCUGGGACGAACCCCGAGCGGCUUCAUUGGCUUUCCUACUUCUUUUGCAUCCCAAAGCAUAAGCUUAAAUCGUCUCAGAAGGACAAGGUCCGCCAGUUUAUGGCAUGCACUCAGGCUGGCGAGAGAACUGCUAUCUACUGCUUAACGCAGAAUGAGUGGAGACUAGACGAGGCCACGGACAGCUUCUUCCAAAACCCAGACUCGUUCCACAGGGAGUCCAUGCGGAACACUGUGGACAAGAAGAAGCUGGAGCAGCUGUACGGCAGGUACAAAGAUCCACAAGAUGAAAACAAAAUUGGAAUCGAUGGGAUUCAACAGUUUUGUGAUGAUCUGAGCCUAGAUCCUGCCAGUAUCAGUGUGUUGGUCAUAGCGUGGAAGUUCAGGGCAGCAACUCAGUGUGAAUUUAGCAGAAAGGAAUUUCUAGAUGGCAUGACAGAACUCGGGUGUGACAGCAUGGAGAAGCUAAAGGCUCUUCUGCCAAGACUGGAGCAGGAGCUGAAGGACACAGCCAAAUUUAAAGAUUUUUAUCAGUUUACCUUCACUUUCGCUAAGAACCCAGGGCAGAAAGGUUUAGACUUAGAAAUGGCUGUUGCGUAUUGGAAGUUAGUGUUGUCUGGAAGGUUUAAGUUUCUAGAUCUCUGGAACACGUUCUUGCUGGAGCAUCACAAAAGAUCAAUUCCAAGGGACACCUGGAACCUCCUUCUGGACUUUGGAAACAUGAUUGCAGAUGAUAUGUCUAACUACGAUGAAGAAGGUACCGGAAGUUGUGCUUCAGAUGAUUGACCGAAAUGCUUACACCUGAGAACGUUAACUUUUCCUGCCUCUAGAGUGGUGACCCCGUCACUGAGAUGGGGGUGGUGAUAAUACUACCUACCCCCUUCCUUAUUUUCUGUAAAUCAUACAAAAGAAAAAUGCGGCUUUAUAUUUAGUGUAAAUCAAGAAGACAGUCCUCUAAGCCAAAGCAUUUCAAAAUUGGAUGUGCAGAGACCCCCAUGGUGGAGCCACGGAGUUAGGUGUUCGGAAACCACCACUCCCAGAUUCUCAGUCACGCAUGAUGCCUUAGGAGCUUGGCCUGUUCUUAUAGAUGAUUUUGUAGAGUAUGCACGGCCAGUAGUCACAGGUGGAAAACGCAGCCUUUUCUAGGCAGCAAGUUAAGCAGGAGUAAGAUUGUGAAAUGAUUUGUGUCCUGCAAGGAGAUUCUGGUCAGUUCCUGGGUGCAUUGUCACUGAGUCCAGAAGUCAUCGUUGACCCGCCAUGGAACCAGAGGAGCCAUCCCAUUCUGCCGGAGGACAGCAGCGGCUGCUUUGUGGACACCGCAGGAAGUUCCCCAGGACAUGGCUGCUUUGGGAUGUUUGGAGAUUUGUCAUCAUAGCUGUUGCGUUAGGAGAUUUCUGCAUGACUUUUUAGUAUUUACAAAACACUAAGGUAGAGCCGUGGCGCCGCCUGUGGGACCGCAGAGCAUGCUGCGUAGCUCGCGCCAUCAGGCGAACCAGCGGCCAGCCGAACGCCGCCGAAUGAUGUUGCAGUGGCACUGGAAGCACGGCACGUGUCCUCUGCAGGGUGCUGCGUUUUUAUAUAAGUCAAAGCUGUUAAGAAUGUGCCCUAAAGGAGAUGAUCUUGUCAUAGAGUCUAAUGUUUUUUAAAAUUGGUGCCAGGAAUUCAAGAUUUAUAUUUUUUGAAUUAUCGAAUAUCUAGAUUUACCAGCUCUAUUUUUGUUUCCAUUUUCUCUAGACAUACAUCUGAAAAUCAUUUUAUGGUUCUCAGUCCCCAUGUAGCUUUGCACAGCAACGGCACACAUGGCACAAUUCCAGCAGAGUUUAUCUCAUACCGUUUAUAUAUCAGUGGACCCCUCUUACUUAAAUGUUACUUGACCUGAGAAACUUCAUAAAGUGUGUUUUUAAAAAAUAUGUUUUAGUUAUAUUUUAAAAGACAUUUUUCCAUGAAAAACAUUUCUUUCAUGAGUGAUGAAUUGUGGAUUUUAAAAUCGAGGCCAGGCACGGUGGCUCACGCCUGUAAUCCCAGCACUUUGGGAGGCCGAGGCAGGUGGAUCGCCUGACGUCAGGAGUUCGAGACCAGCCUGGCCAACAUGGUGAAACCUCGUCUCUACUAAAAAUACAAAAAUUAGCCAGGCGUAGUGGCACAUGCCUAUAAUCUGAGCUACUCGGGAGGCUGAGGCAGGAGAAUCGCUUGAACCCAGGAGACGGAGGUUACGGUGAGUCGAGAUUGCACCACUGCACUCCAUCCUGGAUGACAGAGUGAGAUUCUGUCUCAAUAAAUUAAAAAAUAAAUCAAUACAAUAAAAUCAAAUGAGUUGGUUUUUUCCACCCUCCUGUGGUGCCCAUGGUGCCAGCAUCUGAACCUUUGUGCCCCUGUGCACAUUCGGAAGCUAAAAUGUACAUCGUUGUCCGAAAAAACCCAACCCCAAAACCUUCAUCUGAUUGGUGAGCUGAAGUCCGUCUUUGUGCCAUGUUUUCAUCUGUUUUUCGUGGCCGCCUGGUUGAGGGGUACCCACGAGUGCUGCCCAGGUGUGGAGGGCGUGUGUCGAGUUGUGGACAUCACUGCUGACCCUACCUCACAUGUGCCGAGACCCUCAUGUCACAAGCGUGCCUUGCUGCCCCCCUGCAGCACCGUGCAGGACGUGGACCAGCUGGAGAUGUUUCCCAGGGGAGAGGAGAGUCGCCGCAGAUGACCCAGCUGCGGUGUGAGAGAACAGAGCCCAGACGCGCAGCUGGGUUGGCUUCUGAGAACAGGACUCGCCCUGUGCUUCAGGAACAUCUGAUGGCUGAGGUUCGUGAGCUUGGCGGCUGCAGGACCAACCUUCGAUGCUUCUCAGCAGAGAUGGUCACAGGGGGCAGCAGGGACAGGACUGGAAGGGACCUGCAGCCUGGAGACCCCGCCUGGCCCCCGCUGGCUUCUGGUGGUCCAGUGAUGGGCAAGUCACAGACCUUCCCCAGGCUCUGCUUCCAGAACCCUUAACGGGAAACUGGGCCUGUCUACCUUUAGAAGUCUUCGAUUCUCAGAGAGCAUUUGUUUAAUACAAUAAAAACUAGCUUUAAUAAAAACCUCAAAUGUGUGAGCGCAUCUUGGAGGCUUCAUGGAUUCUUGACAUGUAAUUGUUCUGUUCAGAAAAGUUUAUAGAAUUCAGAUAAUUCUGUAUAAAUUAUGGAGAUCCGCAGUACUUUUUUGUUUCUGAGAUUUAAAGUUCUAAGAGAUUGUCAAUAGAUAUCAAAAUAUCACUGGACAAAGGCUUUUCCGGAAAUUGUUUUUUUCUUCUGUUGUAUACGUUUGAGUCCUGCAUGCUGUGAAAUGCUGAGAACCGAAGCAUUAAAUUGUUUUAUCUCGGG